UUUGGGAGCUGAGAGGUAGAAGCAAAGGAAAUCAUAAAGAAGAUACUGAGCUGCUUCCAAUAUGGAGUUCCCGAACUCUCCACAGAAAGGCCUGGAAAGAGUGUGAGACACACCAGACUCACCAGCCGUCUUCCAACGACGAGGGUGUCAGAAGCAUCACACAGGUGAUCAUUUCUAUCUCAGUCCCUAGAGUACGGGCCUGGGGAUUCUGCAGGUGGAGUAAGCAGAGAGAAUGCUCCGAACUUCAGCCUGCCAACAGAUACGCACGUCAGUGUGUAAAAGUAAGAAACGAAUACGGUGACGGCCCGCAUUUGAGCGAGGACUGCUCUGGGGCCGGUGCUGAGCACCUUACACGCACCGUCUCCUCACACCACCCCGUGGGUGGGCGCCACUGCAGCUCCAUUUUGUUGAGGCGGAGGCUCAGGGAUGUUAGGGGACUAGCGCGCAGGCAGAGGGUUAAUUCACAGGGAGCCUGGAUUAGCCACCUGGACGUCCACAGGGAGCCGUCCAACUCCACGUCCGGCGUGCGUAACUGCCGCCCACGAGGGAAUACCCGGGAACCUGGAGCCCAGCGACCUGUGUCAAAUGCACGUCUACAGCGAGCACAGAUUCUGUGACACUAAAAGCUCUCCGAAAUGACAUAAAGAAGGUUCCUCGACUACUGUAAGGCCCCAAGAUGCCCGGAUGAGUCACGAUUGACGGGACCUAACUUCACGUGGUGAUUAAAACCAUGAUAAACUUAGUAACUGUACUACUGGAUGCUCUGAAUUUAAGAUAAAAAGAAAGGACAUGAGAGAUAGAUCACCUCUUUUUUACACCAGUCUGCCAUCAGAGUAAAUGAUUACUGAAAUCCAUCCUAAGGCAAAAUAACGAUAAGACCUGAGAUUGCAUGCUACUGAAGUGUGAAAGCUACUCAGAAAGAUAAAACACUCCAAAUGCAAGUUGAUAAACUAAAAAACCCCCAGAAGAUUUGUAACUUUGGAAGAAGACCAAGUGGAGAAAACUUAAUAAAGAGGGACCUCUUUAUUGUAUGUUUAUAAAAUAAUCGUAUAAUAUAGUUAUUAAAAACGGGAGACGAAACUUUUUAUUUUUGAUAUCUUGUGUUUUGCAGUCAAUUUUUAAUCAUCUUCACAGUUUUCGAAACUUGCUUUUUGUCGUCCAGAGUACUUUCUGCAAUCUCUACCCGCCCGCUACUCGCACAACCAAAUAAACUCCCCAACAGGUUCAAGUGAGAGACCUACUAUCAAAUAAAUUACUCUAAUGACUCACGAAUGAAGACUGAAGAGUUUCAAAGAAAUACAAUAAAAACAAAAAUAUAUGGAGCAUAAUUUAAUCUUUCAGAUGGUUCACAGAAGGCACCUCAAGACCAUAUUGUGCCAUUUUCCUCAUGCGGUGUGUUUAAGGGCCUAUAACAGAAUUCUGGUUAGUGAAAUUCUGGACAAAAAAAAAAAAUGUUUCCUAUGGAGGGCACACAGCAUCGAAUGACCACGGAUACAA